CAGUAGUUGGGUCACCACCUGGGAGCUUGUUAACAGUGCAGAAUCUCAGGCCCUACCCGGACCUACAGAAUCAGAGUCUGCAUUGUAACAAGAUUCUUCAGGGAUUCCCACACAUGUUCAAGAUCAAGAAGUACCGGAAUGAUCUUCAUUCCAUGGGCCAGAAUAGAAUUCUGGUAUAUCUACACUUCAAACAAGUUUACAAUGGAAGAAUGGCCUCCUCAAAACCCCAAACAGCUGGAAUCGGGCCAAUUAGUAGGAUUAUUGCAAAGACCAGACAUUUAUCAGGACCCUUUUGCAGAAACACAUGUGGGGCUGUAAGCGAUGCAUUUCCUGGCUUCUGACAUGAGCUAAACAUCUGUUCAAGGCAAGGCUGUAAUGAAACUGUCCCAAGGCAUCUGAGAGUGGAGAGUGAUUGGACUCGGGUGAAGACUCCAAGAUGGCGAUCGCCACCUCGGAUACCCUGACUCAGCAUUUCCGGGUUCACCUUUCCUGUUCCCGCCAACCCGACUAACGCGCAUGCCCACUAGGGCGUGUCACACAGAGAAGUGCGAAACUCAACCGACCCCGCCCCUACCCCGCCCACUCCUCACCCAGCAUCCAUAAAAGCGUGCUGCCCCUUUGGCACAGCGCGACUUCCCUGGCCCUCCCCCUGCGGACCAGUGAACCUCGCCCGAGAGCUCAAUAAAGAAGAUUUUUGCCCUCUUUG
rnacentral:lncRNA from 10 species